AGUGACGGGGGCUUUGCCUGAUCUGCCUCAGGUACCUACCCGAAGUGAUGGGUGACGGCCUGGCCAACCAGAUCAACAACCCCGAGGUGGAGGUGGACAUCACCAAGCCAGACAUGACCAUCCGGCAGCAGAUCAUGCAGCUGAAGAUCAUGACCAACCGGCUGCGUGGGGCCUACAGUGGCAGUGACGUGGACUUCCAGGACGCCAGUGAGGGUCCCGGCCCUGACGGUGGGGCUGGGCGCUGAUAACCAGGGGUCCCAAGGGCUGUGAGGGUCUGCUGCUGGGCGGGGACACCACGCCUGUGUCCCUGCAGCGGCUGAGGCCCGGCAAACCCAGGAGGGCCAGUAGCACUGGACCACAGCAGUCACACUGGACCUGGGCCACACAGAGAGCCAUCGGGUCCCUGGACACGGGGUCUCUGGGUAGGGGCAGCUGCUGGAGUCCCCUCUCCUCCCCAGGUGAUGACGGCAGUGGCUCAGGCAGCGGCGGUGGCUGCCCUGACGUCAUCUGCGGCCGGAGGGUCAGCAAGAAAAGCUCCAGCUCCCGCACGCCCUUGACCCACGCCCUCCCCGGCCUGUCCGAGCGAGAGGGGCAGAAGACCUCGGCCGCUGGCCGCCCCCAGCCCCGUGCCCUGCUCCUGCUCCUGCUCCUGCUCCUGGUUCUCGCGGCAGCCAGGCCCCGGUGGCGGUAACUGCCACGGCCCAGGGACGAGGCCAAGGACAGACUUUGCCAAAACGCAAAACAGGAUAUUUAAUUCCCCUUGGCCUGCAGAGGCCCAGGGUAGGACGAGGGGACAGUGGCUCUGUGUGCUGGGCAGGGUGCGUGGGGCCCCAGCACCCAGGCCUGGCCUCACCUGCCACCCUGGCUUUUAAUUUUGUAUGAGGUCCUCAGGUCAGCUGGGAGCCAGUGUCCCCAAAAGCCAUGUAUUUCAGGGACCUCAGGGACAUCUCUGGCUGCCCGUACCCCCCCACCCCUCCCAAGGCCCAUGGAGGAGGUGACCCUUAGCAACGUCCCGCUGGAGACCUCGAGCGAGCCUGUGCCUUCCUCGCUGCCUUCUGCCGGGGACUCUCUGCUGGACCUCCCUGGCUUCACAUCAGCAAGGCCCACCCCUCCGCACCCCCAGGGUGUCGGGGGCCCCUGACCAUGCUCUGGCAGGGCCUCUGAGCUUAUGCAUGAUGCCUCCCACCCAGUGGGGCUCUGAAGCCAGGGCCCACUCUCCCUGUGUCGCCUCAGAGUCCCAGUGGACGCAGUCCACCCUUGGGGCCGUGCCAGCACAGCCAUACCCCGGCUCUGCUAUGUUGACCUUUUGCUUGUGGGUGGGGUGCUGUCCCCACCACCCAGGGAAGCAGAGGGCCUGCCCCUCACUUGUGCUCACAUACACAGGCCUUCUGGGGCCAGGUCUGCAAGAGGAACCCCACUUCUGGGGAGUAGCCAGCCAUUCCUACCCCACCCCACCCAGACAGGAUGGCCCUGGGGCUGCGGGCCAGGGCAUAGCCUGACAGUCGAGGGCUUCUCCAGCACAUGCACAUUCAAACACUUCUUUCCCUGCCCCGAGACCUGCACCUCAGUCCUCCUGAAGCAUUGGAGGUCCUGGAGCCCAGCUUGGACCCUGGGGCCCUUCAGUGGCCCUGGACUGAGUGUGCCCAGCUCACUGAGGGCAUCGGGCCCUCGGGCAUGGGCAAGUCCUCCCCGUCUCCAGGCCCAGAAGCCAGCAAGCCCUGGAGCAGGGACUGGCGUCCUAUAAGAGGGGCCCCUGCACGGCGAAGGACGACAGGGGGCAGACACCGAGUUGCCACAGCCAGGGACAGUCGUUCCGACCCACACGGGCCUUGAGAAGGUCACUCAGUGCUUCUUUGAUCUCUGCUGCUGGGCCGGGGGGUCUUCCCACCUGCACAGUGGGGGAGGCUGUGGGUGCUGGUCCAGCCCCUUGGCACAGGGUGGGAGACUCAAGCUGGUCCUUGGACGUGUUGGGUCAGGCCCUUGGGACCCCUGCCCUGUAAGAGCCCCGUAAGUGCCAUGCAGGCUGAGGUGGCUGGAGCCGACCCAAGCCCCGGGACAGAGGACCCAGUCCUGGGAGGCAGCAGUGACACUGCCCGUGAUGGCCAGGGGUGACACCCCGCACUACCCCACAUGCUUCUCUGGAAGGGGCAACCCUGAGCAGCCACUGGUCAGGGCAGUGGCCCAGCCUGCUGUGUCCUUCCUCAUGAGGCCCCUGGUCACUCAGUGCCAGCAGGUCGCCAGGUCACAUGUGUCGA
rnacentral:lncRNA from 1 species